rnacentral:tRNA from 1 species
GCGGGUGUCGUAUAGUGGCUAUUAUCCAACUUUUCCAAAGUUGUGACGUGGGUUCGAUUCCCAUCACCCGCUCCC